rnacentral:lncRNA from 1 species
CUCCAGCCUGGGUGAAAGAGCUAGACUCUGUUGUUCUCUCCUCAGACCUCAAAGACAGCGGCUCCACCGCGGUACGCGGCCACCGGCUUUGGAGCCUGGACCCCAACUUGCCUCCUCUCGCGGAGAGACAGUCGCCGACGCUCGCUUAGCCGCCGAGACCUCGCCGCCAACUCUCUCACCUCUCGAGACGCCCAGGCCGCUCAGGCUCGAAUCUUGCGGAGCAGGGGGCGGGACAAUAGCGGCCGCGGCGCCCCACUCGGCAGAACUCCGCCACCAGGCGCGAUGCCGGAACUACAUGUCCCAUGACGCUCUGGGAGGCCGCAGCUU